rnacentral:rRNA from 1 species
UGGGGAAUUUUGGACAAUGGGCGAAAGCCUGAUCCAGCAAUGCCGCGUGUGUGAAGAAGGCCUUCGGGUUGUAAAGCACUUUUGUCCGGAAAGAAAUCCUUGGCUCUAAUACAGUCGGGGGAUGACGGUACCGGAAGAAUAAGCACCGGCUAACUACGUGCCAGCAGCCGCGGUAAUACGUAGGGUGCAAGCGUUAAUCGGAAUUACUGGGCGUAAAGCGUGCGCAGGCGGUUUGCUAAGACCGAUGUGAAAUCCCCGGGCUCAACCUGGGAACUGCAUUGGUGACUGGCAGGCUAGAGUAUGGCAGAGGGGGGUAGAAUUCCACGUGUAGCAGUGAAAUGCGUAGAGAUGUGGAGGAAUACCGAUGGCGAAGGCAGCCCCCUGGGCCAAUACUGACGCUCAUGCACGAAAGCGUGGGGAGCAAACAGGAUUAGAUACCCUGGUAGUCCACGCCCUAAAACGAUGUCAACUAGUUGUUGGGGAUUCAUUUCUUAGUAACGUAGCUAACGCGUGAAGUUGACCGCCUGGGGAGUACGGUCGCAAAGAUUAAAACUCAAAGGAAUUGACGGGGUCAUAGCUG